UGGAAACGGUUACCGGCUCAGCAAUGCCUA
rnacentral:piRNA from 1 species